UACGUAGGUGGCAAGCGUUGUCCGGAUUUACUGGGCGUAAAGCGCGCGUAGGCGGCUUCAUAAGUCUGUGGUGAAAUCUCCCGGCUUAACCGGGAGGGGUCUAUGGAUACUGUGAGGCUUGAGUGCCGUAGAGGAAAGCGGAAUUCCCGGUGUAGUGGUGAAAUGCGUAGAUAUCGGGAGGAACACCAGUGGCGAAAGCGGCUUUCCAGACGGUAACUGACGCUGAGGCGCGAAAGCGUGGGGAGCGAACCGG
rnacentral:rRNA from 1 species